rnacentral:rRNA from 1 species
UCCCUGAGUAGCGGCGAGCGAAACGGGAAGAGCCCAAACCAACAAGCUUGCUUGUUGGGGUUGUAGGACACUCUAUACGGAGUUACAAAAGAACAUGUUAGACGAAUCAUCUGGAAAGAUGAAUCAAAGAAGGUAAUAAUCCUGUAGUCGAAAACAUAUUCUCUCUUGAGUGGAUCCUGAGUACGACGGAGCACGUGAAAUUCCGUCGGAAUCUGGGAGGACCAUCUCCUAAGGCUAAAUACUCUCUAGUGACCGAUAGUGAACCAGUACCGUGAGGGAAAGGUGAAAAGCACCCCGGAAGGGGAGUGAAAGAGAACUUGAAACCGUGUGCUUACAAGUAGUCAGAGCCCGUUAAUGGGUGAUGGCGUGCCUUUUGUAGAAUGAACCGGCGAGUUACGAUCUGAUGCAAGGUUAAGCAGCAAAUGUGGAGCCGCAGCGAAAGCGAGUCUGAAUAGGGCGUUGAGUAUUUGGUCGUAGACCCGAAACCAGGUGAUCUACCCUUGGUCAGGUUGAAGUUCAGGUAACACUGAAUGGAGGACCGAACCGACUUACGUUGAAAAGUGAGCGGAUGAACUGAGGGUAGCGGAGAAAUUCCAAUCGAACUUGGAGAUAGCUGGUUCUCUCCGAAAUAGCUUUAGGGCUAGCCUCAAGUGAUGAUUAUUGGAGGUAGAGCACUGUUUGGACGAGGGGCCCCUCUCGGGUUACCGAAUUCAGACAAACUCCGAAUGCCAAUUAAUUUAACUUGGGAGUCAGAACAUGGGUGAUAAGGUCCGUGUUCGAAAGGGAAACAGCCCAGACCACCAGCUAAGGUCCCAAAAUAUAUGUUAAGUGGAAAAGGAUGUGGCGUUGCCCAGACAACUAGGAUGUUGGCUUAGAAGCAGCCAUCAUUUAAAGAGUGCGUAAUAGCUCACUAGUCGAGUGACACUGCGCCGAAAAUGUACCGGGGCUAAACAUAUUACCGAAGCUGUGGAUUGUCCUUUGGACAAUGGUAGGAGAGCGUUCUAAGGGCGUCGAAGCAUGAUCGCAAGGACAUGUGGAGCGCUUAGAAGUGAGAAUGCCGGUGUGAGUAGCGAAAGACGGGUGAGAAUCCCGUCCACCGAUUGACUAAGGUUUCCAGAGGAAGGCUCGUCCGCUCUGGGUUAGUCGGGUCCUAAGCUGAGGCCGACAGGCGUAGGCGAUGGAUAACAGGUUGAUAUUCCUGUACCACCUAGUAUCGUUUUAAUCGAUGGGGGGACGCAGUAGGAUAGGCGAAGCGUGCUGUUGGAGUGCACGUCCAAGCAGUAAGGCUGAGUGUUAGGCAAAUCCGGCACUCAUAAGGCUGAGCUGUGAUGGGGAGAGGAAAUUGUUUCCUCGAGUCGUUGAUUUCACACUGCCGAGAAAAGCCUCUAGAUAGAUAACAGGUGCCCGUACCGCAAACCGACACAGGUAGUCAAGAUGAGAAUUCUAAGGUGAGCGAGCGAACUCUCGUUAAGGAACUCGGCAAAAUGACCCCGUAACUUCGGGAGAAGGGGUGCUCUUUAGGGUUCACGCCCAGAAGAGCCGCAGUGAAUAGGCCCAAGCGACUGUUUAUCAAAAACACAGGUCUCUGCUAAACCGUAAGGUGAUGUAUAGGGGCUGACGCCUGCCCGGUGCUGGAAGGUUAAGAGGAGUGGUUAGCUUCUGCGAAGCUACGAAUCGAAGCCCCAGUAAACGGCGGCCGUAACUAUAACGGUCCUAAGGUAGCGAAAUUCCUUGUCGGGUAAGUUCCGACCCGCACGAAAGGCGUAACGAUUUGGGCACUGUCUCAACGAGAGACUCGGUGAAAUCAUAGUACCUGUGAAGAUGCAGGUUACCCGCGACAGGACGGAAAGACCCCGUGGAGCUUUACUGUAGCCUGAUAUUGAAAUUCGGCACAGCUUGUACAGGAUAGGUAGGAGCCUUUGAAACGUGAGCGCUAGCUUACGUGGAGGCGUUGGUGGGAUACUACCCUAGCUGUGUUGGCUUUCUAACCCGCACCACUUAUCGUGGUGGGAGACAGUGUCAGGCGGGCAGUUUGACUGGGGCGGUCGCCUCCUAAAAGGUAACGGAGGCGCUCAAAGGUUCCCUCAGAAUGGUUGGAAAUCAUUCAUAGAGUGUAAAGGCAUAAGGGAGCUUGACUGCGAGACCUACAAGUCGAGCAGGGUCGAAAGACGGACUUAGUGAUCCGGUGGUUCCGCAUGGAAGGGCCAUCGCUCAACGGAUAAAAGCUACCCUGGGGAUAACAGGCUUAUCUCCCCCAAGAGUCCACAUCGACGGGGAGGUUUGGCACCUCGAUGUCGGCUCGUCGCAUCCUGGGGCUGUAGUCGGUCCCAAGGGUUGGGCUGUUCGCCCAUUAAAGCG